rnacentral:snRNA from 1 species
GUGCACAUUUCAGCAGCACAUACACUAAAAUUGGAAUGAUACAGAGAGGAGUAACAUGGCCCCUGUGCAAGCAUGACACACAAAUUCGUGAAGCAUUCCAUAUUUUU